GCGGGGGUAGCCAAGCCUGGCCAAAGAUACCAGCAAAAGGUAUUGGAAGCGCAGGAUUCAGGAUCCUGUCCCGUAGGGUUUCGUGGGUUCAAAUCCCACCCCCCGCACCA
rnacentral:tRNA from 1 species